GAGCGAGCGAACUCUCGUUAAGGAACUCGGCAAAAUGACCCCGUAACUUCGGGAGAAGGGGUGCUCUUUAGGGUUAACGCCCAGAAGAGCCGCAGUGAAUAGGCCCAAGCGACUGUUUAUCAAAAACACAGGUCUCUGCUAAACCGUAAGGUGAUGUAUAGGGGCUGACGCCUGCCCGGUGCUGGAAGGGUAAGAGGAGUGGUUAGCUUCUGCGAAGCUACGAAUCGAAGCCCCAGUAAACGGCGGCCGUAACUAUAACGGUCCUAAGGUAGCGAAAUUCCUUGUCGGGUAAGUUCCGACCCGCACGAAAGGCGUAACGAUUUGGGCACUGUCUCAACGAGAGACUCGGUGAAAUCAUAGUACCUGUGAAGAUGCAGGUUACCCGCGACAGGACGGAAAGACCCCGUGGAGCUUUACUGUAGCCUGAUAUUGAAAUUCGGCACAGCUUGUACAGGAUAGGUAGGAGCCUUUGAAACGUGAGCGCUAGCUUACG
rnacentral:rRNA from 1 species